AGCCCCGCGUGCAUCGCUUUUUGGAAGGCGAGGGAAAAGAAAAGGGGAAGUGGCAGCGAGAGAAAAGAAAAUAGGAAGCCAGCCAAACCUAGCCCGCGCCUCCGCAACCCCUGCCGCCGCGGCCUCCUCCUCUUCUGCCGCCGCCGCCUCGGCCUCGUCUCCUUUCUUGCCCUCAGCGGCCACCAGCGACCUCCGAGCCCCCCUUCUCCACCUCGUCACUGUGGUCACCUAGCUUGAGCUCGAGCGAAGGAGCGACUCGGCAGGACGCCGGGGGGCAGGGGCAGCAGCCAGCCGCGCCUCGCCCCGUGCUCUGCAGGCGCCCAUCGGCCUCGACCCGGCCGACGGCAGGAGGAGCUCGAGCCGAAGCCGAGGAGCGUGGCCUUGAUCCGGACUUGACUGCCUACUGGAGCAGCUGGAGAGAAGUGGUGGAUCCGACGGGGCUGGAAUCCCUCAUCACCGGGCGUGGAGGAUGUAUGACUCGCGAAGGAGGUAGCAGAUUGAGCAAAAUGGAGUGGCCUUUCCCAUCCGGUGGCCUACGCGUGUUGUGACUGGCUGCACUCCACUCCUUUCUCCCCUUGGUGGAUAGCUUAAUAUGAGGGGAGGCACAUAGGUUUGCUAAUUCUGUUUCUGGGCUGGCCUAUGAGAUGGAGACCAAAGCAAACUUCAGCAGGUUUCAGAUACCAAAUUAACUAGGUUUACGCAAAUAAGCUUCUUCAUUGUUUCCCUUCUGGGGAAAAGUUGUGGUCAUGUUAGUUGGUUGGUUGGCAUGCAUCUGCAAUAACUGCGUGGUGAAGCACUGGUCCUAAUAUGUCAUGGGUUUCAGUGGCACGUAAGUAGGAUCUACUCAUUGUUCCAUUGACUGCCCUCCGGUGAAUUUUUACCCAUUUCCCUCUUUGAUGCUUUUGCGUCCAUAUGUCUAACUUGGUCUUCUUUCAACAUUUCUCAUGGUUUAUGUGGCAGCGUGGUUGGCUGAUGGCUUAUAGCUUUCUGUAUCAUCUAUCAAAUGUGCGUGCUAUGAUAUUCUGUAAGGCUAGGAUCAUUUCUUGCCUUCAUAAUGUGUUAAAUUAAUUAUCAUAGUUAUAUGGUGAAUCUCGACAAUCCCCCAAGGACCAGGCCAUAGCUUAUGGUCCCUGUUUGGGUUUAUUUUGUUGCAAAAUGUAUUUUUGGAAAAAUGUUAUUAAGUUAUCGCUUUCUCCGCCUACCUCCCUUACAUCCUAAGGCUUCAUACCUUUCUCAUUUUAGUUGUCUUUUCGAGAUCGCCAUUACAUCCUUGAUGAACUAUACAUGUGCGACACAAGGCAUAUCAGACAUGACUGUUUCAUGACCAAGAUCGACCAGAACUGGCAUAAAAGAAAUCAUUCACACAAUCAAGUUUGAUAAUUGAAAUUUUUUGUAGCUUGCUAAUGUCGUCGAUAUAAGCCAUCUUUUAUGUUGUACUGGUGGACAAAGAAGUAUAACAAGUUCAUAUAUUUUAUAUAUUGUAUUAUACAGUAGAGUGCGGGAUGUAUGAUCUGUAUGAAACUAACAUCAUAUAUUGCCUUCAUAUUAUCACUUAGUACAUCCCCAGUUAAUGUAAUUCAUUUUUUUUCAUUUGAGUGAGAAGUUGAUGGUGCAAUUUUUCAUUGUUUUUCGUUAUCAUGUUUGAAUUUAUUAAAGGUUUCUUAGCAUUAGUUUCUUCUUGCAUGCAGUUUUCGUCACUGGGUCACCUGAUGGGUAAUGGGUGAGUGAGUCUGCAUGCUUGUUAUCAGCUCGUAAAGCGGAUGAUGGCGUUGAUAGUUUGGCCAUUGUGGAGGAUAUUAGGUGCUCAAUCAAACAUAUAAACCCUUCUAGAGUACCCGCAUAACCGAGGCAACUGCGACCGCUAGCGAUUUUGGGUCGCUCGAUCUACCUACGUGUAAAGUUUUUUGUACUUUUCAUCUGCCUGGCAAACAUUCGGCCGCCAAUUCUGCCUCACGCAACCUAGUUUCAGUUUUGGAAAUGACGGCUGGGCCAUCCUCCGUCGCGGGACCGGCUAUCCAGUGCGUGUUGCGUGGGCUCGUUCGGGUGGGUGUUCGAUGUGUGUUGCGGUAAAAAGGUGGGUGGGCUGUGAUCGUGGUGGACUGGAGCGCUUGUCGGUCACAGCAUGGGGUGGAGAGCCAGGACCAAUCCUCUCGUCGAAACCUAGCGCACUCGGGCCAAUCCUCUCCAUGCUCGAGCCCCUCUUCUCUUUCGGCGCCGUCUUGCCUCCCCUGAUCUCUCCCAUCCACCAUCGCGAGCGGGGCGGCCGUGAGAGAUCAUCAGCGGCGACGAGAGAGCUGGCGGAAGAAGGGGCCAGGUCAAGGCGGGUGUUGGAGACCGAAGGGGUCUGGUGGGCGUGGUGGCAGGGCUGCAGCGGCCUGUGGGGCGUCGACCAGACUAGCAGCGACCCCGAAGGAGGGGAAGGGCCCGACAGGCGCGUCCAGGGAGGACAGGCUUGGGGGCCUCGUGGAUUGGGGAGAUAGCGGCCACCGGGUUUCUCCAAUCGAUCUGCGAUCUGGACAGGGCCACGACAAUGCAGGUGAGGGGCGUAGGCGAGCGACCCUAUGCAGACGCGCGUUGACAGGUAGAAGGCGUAACACUCCUCCCACCUUUGCUUCUCCCCUCCUCCCCUUUGCUUCCCACUCCUUUCCGAUCUAGCCUGCCCACCUACGUCCGCAUCGUUUUUCUCUAAGUUUUUACUGCUUGAUUCUCUGGUUCUCUGAUGAUCUUAUUUUGAUUCCUCAACUUUUAGUUACUUGUGGAGACUAUAAGAAGAAUUUUGAGGAAGAGUUUGAUCAAGAAGACCAAUGUGAAUUAUAUCUCUCUUGAACAGAUUCACGCCUGUUCCUGCAUUUUUGGAUUUUUCUGUGUAGUAGAUCACAUGGCAUGAUUUUGUACUCCUCUUACCCACUGAGCAAAGCUACAUUUGUAAAUGAAGGUCUUAGAAGUUUUCGUUUUUACCUUUUGGUCUGAUAGAUCAGUGCAUGGUGUUGGUCAUGUGAACAGAGGUUGUCCAUUCUCCUUCUGAUAGAUUGGUACAUGGAAUUAUUAUGUACAGAUGACCCUUCCAAGAUGAAUAUUUGAGUGCUCUUCUUGUUUGAAAUUUUUUGUUCACAGGAGUAGGCUGACACCCGCAGUUGUUUGGCAUCAAAUUCAGAAAAUACACAUCCUAAGAUUGAAGCAAUGCAACCUGAACCAAAGGCAAAGAGAAGACGAGGUCGAACCCCAACACCGGAAGGUAUCUUGGCACCAAACCAUCGCGAGGAGAAGGGGAUGUGUUGUUGUGCAUGAGAUAAGCAGCCCUGUUCAGAAGUGCUUUAUAGAGGUCCUGUAAGCUUUCUAGACAUACAUGUUGUUUCCAGUCUCUCUCGGCUUCCCCAAUCCUAGAGAUGUUCAAAAAUAUGAUAAAUGUGGGGCCUUGGUGCUAGAUGAGACACUGACAUGUACUACAGAAAAGAAAAGUAAGCUCCCGUUAUCAUUCACUUGCCCUAUUUAUCCUAAAGCUGUAUAGUUAGUUCCAGUUCUGUUUAUAUGCUGGUUAGUUACACUAUAUGAUAUAGCUAGCUAUGUAGUUUUCUUUAUGAAGUCGGUGUAAAUAAGCUACCGCAAGCUACCUUCGUAGCUUUCUUUUGAUGUAAGUUGAUGCUUUUAGUCUAUCGUGCUUCCUAUUAUCCGGCUUGAUAUGCCUGAGCCAGUUAUGUAUAAAGACGCCAUCUAAGUAUCUCCUUGCAUUGGUAUGCCUGAACCAUAGUGUUAUCAGGAUCGAUAAAAUAUGCCAUCUAAGUAUAAUGGUUUUAAAUUUUAAUGCUUGGUUUGCUUUGGCUACUUGCACCAGUUGCACAAGUAGCCUCUGUUUUUAUUCCACAUCCCCAAGGACAAUAUAUUUUGACCUUCUAUCUUUGUUCAAGUGUAAUAUCUCAGAUCGAAAGACACAACCUUAUUUUGAAUGGUAACUAAUUGGAUCCGACCACGAGUGAGCCAAGGGAUCGUUGUACUCCCUCGCUGUCUUUCCCAGUUUCAGUCACUGCGAGAGCAAGUAUACUAUGUUUUGGAAGCAAAGAGAAGAUAUCUCGAUGCGAAAUGCUUCAACCAUCAGGUUUUAAUGUUAGCCAUUAUUAGGUUUAUGAAAAAGUAUAUCACUGCUACCAUGCUUCUAUUCUACAUUUUUUUUGUCAUAGGAUGCAUGUGACAUCAUUAGUAUUAAGUAUGAGGUAGGGGUUUUAAGCCUUUAGGUAGAUCUCAAGGUCUCAUUGAGUUUUAUGGAUGGUACUGCCAUCAGAGGGGAGGGUCUGAUUGUUGGAAGCUAUCAGUGAAAGAGAGCGAACAUUUAAUAGAGAUGCCCGUGCGAUGGUAUUAAUCUGACCAUGUUUAUGUAUAUGGGUGGCGUUUUUUCCAUAAAAUUUGUCCGUUUGCAAUUUAUCUUUUGCCGAGGCAAAAGAAAUGGUGUGUGUGGGAGAACUAAUAUAUUUUAGGGCAAUGGCUUAAUUGCACACAGGAAAAAAGAUUUGGAAUGUAUAUGGCAAAAUGAAGGACAACAAUAUCAAAACCUGGUCUACAGGAACCAAACACACCUACGAUGAAGAGUUGUUUAGACAAUGAAAUCAUGGUCAAUAUUGAUGGAACAUGCAGUGAUGGCUCUACCUAAUAUCACCGCCUUCAUGUCUUUCCUGUUGGCAGCAGAUACAAGACUCAGCCAGGGGUUAAGAGACCAGCUCUAUCUAUAUGAUGCAUCUCUGCUAAAAUAGUUUGCUUAUAAAGCCAAUCAUGAACAAAGGACAAGCAUAUGCUUUCGCCUUCAAAUGCACUUUCAAGGGACUACGCCUGAUCGUCUACUCAAUAUAAGUUGCAAGAGCCCCUUGUUAUAUAACUUAGUAUUAGUAUAAAUGUCUACCAAGACUUCUGUGUUUAUCAUCCUUUUGGAUCUUAUGUAAUCCCCUUAGACCAACAACAAUUAACUUAGUGCAUCAUUUUGUAUCUUAUGUAAAACAAACCAUGACAAUCCUGUGCGUAUGACUAUCGCUUGCUUGCUGCAUACACUAUCAUGAGCUAUGCUUUUCGAGCAGCAAUAUUUUAAUGCACACUCUUUUAAUAC